UACGUAGGGUGCAAGCGUUGUCCGGAAUUAUUGGGCGUAAAGAGCUUGUAGGCGGUUUGUCGCGUCUGCUGUGAAAUUUCGGGGCUCAACCCCGAACUUGCAGUGGGUACGGGCAGACUAGAGUGUGGUAGGGGAGACUGGAAUUCCUGGUGUAGCGGUGAAAUGCGCAGAUAUCAGGAGGAACACCGAUGGCGAAGGCGGCUCUCUGGAACGCAACUGACGCUGAGACGCGAAAGCGUGGGAGCAAACAGG
rnacentral:rRNA from 1 species